UACAGAGGGGGCAAGCGUUGUUCGGAAUUACUGGGCGUAAAGGGCGCGUAGGCGGCCUUCUAAGUCGAACGUGAAAUCCCCGGGCUCAACCCGGGAACUGCGUCCGAUACUGGAAGGCUUGAAUCCGGGAGAGGGAUGCGGAAUUCCAGGUGUAGCGGUGAAAUGCGUAGAUAUCUGGAGGAACACCGGUGGCGAAAGCGGCUUCCUGGUCCAGCACCGACGUUCAGGCACGAAAGCGUGGGGAGCAAACAGG
rnacentral:rRNA from 1 species